ensembl:lncRNA
UUUUGGAUAUAUAUUAGAUAUUAGACGUCUCUAGAUUUUCCACAAAACCCUGUCAGCGUUUCUGACCAAAGUGGAACAUGUUGGCUGCGUUGUCUUACUAUCUAUCUGUUCUGAGUUUUUCCUUCCUCUCUUUCUUUCACAACCGAGACAAGUACCGACGAGCUGAGUAGCAAACACACUUCUGAUCAUUACAUCUGAAACUAUAGCUUCUUUUUUAUUUCCUGUUUUCUUGAGGGGCUGAGAGCGGAUGCACGGCACAGCGAUCAAUACGGCGCUCUAAAGCAGUGGGAGUAAGAACAAUUGAGAUACACUUAGAACAAGACCUGGGAUCCAACUUGAGAGAGGGGAAAUGCUACAGCAACACUUUCAGGUGUACCAUUGAGAACAUGCCAUGCAUGUUACCUCAGAAAGCAAGCUCACGUGUCACAGAUGUGUUAUAAAUCAUUCUGUAAAAUUCCACAUGGAAAAAUUCUCACAGAAAAAGGCAGCACAAGCAUGAACCGAAGAUCUAAAUAAAAUGAGACUUUCAUGGAAUAGACAAUGAGACAACAAUUGAAACUCUGUUUGACAUUUUCUUUUUGUGUCCCUCAUGUUUUUGUUCAAACAAAACACACAAAAAACUAAGACGAAGGACAUCAUAAAAUCAUAAAAAACACAAAAAGGAAAAUAAACCCCACGUUGAAAAAGGAUGAUGAGAGAAGAGUGUGAGACACUUGGAACAGCAACAGCAGAGGAUUGCACAUGUCAAUGAUCCGUUCUACACCUCCCUACCGCCCCCUCCCCGACCCCCCGAAAACAAAGGGGGAAAAAUCUGAGUGCUUGCGUCAUCCAUUAGAUGGGAAAGGAGGGGAGAAAUGAAGGGAGGGAGCCUAAGGGGUUUAACAGUGUGCCAAACAUCAGUGAGAUUUCUUCUCUAUAAAAAGAACAGAACGGUGCAGAAAUAUUCGUAUUUUUUUCAAAUCAUCAAACAGGUGAAAGAGGAUCCUUUUUUCACCGCGAAUAAAAUCAAGAAUUUGUUGUUGUUUUUUUGUUCAUUUAAAAAUGUCUCAGUCCGUUUUCACGCGCCUGUUCUCUCAUUUAAAGUGUCUGUGUGAAAAUAUAGCAGAGACCAGUUUUCUUUCCUUUGUCCUUGUCCACUGUAGUAGUAAACAAAUGAUAGAAUCCUGUAGAACGCACAUCUUAGGGUGUGAAGAGUGGUGUGGAGGAGUGCUGUGUGUCUGUCUGUAUGUACAUGUUGGUACCUGUAUGUCUGCACUUGAACCAGUUUGUUUGUGGUUGUGUGUGUUUCUCUGAUUCUGAAUGUACCUGCUUUUGCAUUUCUAUGUGUGUGAAUAUAUUACUACUACAUUUCUAUGUGUAUGUGUUUCUGUGUGUUUCUGUGUGUUUCUGUAUGUGUGUGUGUGUGUGUGUGUGUGUGUGUUUCUGUAUGUGUGUAUAUGUGUUUAUGCGUGUGUGUGUUUCUGCAUGUGUGUGUGUAUUUCUGGAUGUGUAUUUCUGUAUGUGUGUAUAUGUUUGUGUUUCUGCAUGUAUGUGUGUGUUUCUGUAUCUGUGAGUGUUUCUGCAUGUGUGUGUGUGUUUCUUCGUGUCUGUGU